rnacentral:rRNA from 1 species
GACGAACGCUGGCGGCGUGCUUAACACAUGCAAGUCGAACGGAAAGGCCCUGCUUUUGUGGGGUGCUCGAGUGGCGAACGGGUGAGUAACACGUGAGUAACCUGCCCUUGACUGUGGGAUAACUUCAGGAAACUGGGGCUAAUACCGGAUAGGAGCUCCUGCUGCAUGGUGGGGGUGGGAAAGUUUCGGCGGUUGGGGAUGGACUCGCGGCUUAUCAGCUUGUUGGUGGGGUAGUGGCUUACCAAGGCUUUGACGGGUAGCCGGCCUGAGAGGGUGACCGGCCACACUGGGACUGAGAUACGGCCCAGACUCCUACGGGAGGCAGCAGUGCGGAAUAUUGCACAAUGGGCGGAAGCCUGAUGCAGCAACGCCGCGUGCGGGAUGACGGCCUUCGGGUUGUAAACCGCUUUCGCCUGUGACGAAGCGUGAGUGACGGUAAUGGGUAAAGAAGCACCGGCUAACUACGUG